UACAGAGGUCUCAAGCGUUGUUCGGAUUCAUUGGGCGUAAAGGGUGCGUAGGUGGCGGGGCAAGUCUGGUGUGAAAUCUCGGAGCUCAACUCCGAAACUGCACUGGAUACUGCCUUGCUUGAGUACUGGAGAGGAAACUGGAAUUUACGGUGUAGCAGUGAAAUGCGUAGAGAUCGUAAGGAAGGCCAGUGGCGAAGGCGAGUUUCUGGACAGUUACUGACGCUGAGGCACGAAGGCCAGGGGAGCAAACGGG
rnacentral:rRNA from 1 species